UGGCGUAGCCAAGUGGUAAGGCAGAAGUCUGCAAAACUUUUAUUCAUCGGUUCAAAUCCGAUCGCC
rnacentral:tRNA from 1 species